rnacentral:SRP_RNA from 1 species
GCCAGGUGUGGUGGCGGGCACCUGUAAUCCCAGCUACUUGGAGACUGAGGCAGGAGAAUCGCUUGAACCCGGGAGGCAGAGGUUGCAGUGAGCCAAGAUUGUUCCACUGCACUUCAACCUGGGCAAUAGAGCGAGACUCUGUCUCAA